UAUCACGAGUUUGCCAGGGACAGCCUUCAACUCUUCUUUCUGGAUAAAAGGACUCCUCUGAACAUUGGAUGUGACUGUUAUCACGAGUUUGCCAGGGACCGCCUUCAACUCUUCUUGUUGGAUAAAAGGACUCCUCUGAUCAUUGGAUGUGACUGUUAUCACGAGUUUGCCAGGGACAGCCUUCAACUCUUCUUGCUGGAUAAAAGGACUCAUCUGAACAUUGGAUGUGACUGUUAUCACGAGUUUGCCAGGGACAGCCUUCAACUCUUCUUGCUGGAUAAAAGGACUCCUCUGAACAUUGGAUGUGACUGUUAUCACGAGUUUGCCAGGGACCGCCUUCAACUCUUCUUGUUGGAUAAAAGGACUCCUCGGAACAUUGGAUGUGACUGUCGUCACGAGUUUGCCAGGGACAGCCUUCAACCCUUUUCAUGUUGGAUAAAAAGACUCCUCUGAAAAUUGGAUGUGACUGUCCUCUUAGGGUCGGCCGGGGACAGAAAAAUGACCAACGUGGUGACAUAACUUUCUUGUUCUAGUUCUGUCGCCAGCUGAGUGGUGGCUCCGGCAAUCAUUCACGCUGGCCAUCUUCAACGUGGCACGCAUGCGCUUUGCUUCGUCUGCCGCCAUGUUUUCAAAGUUUGUCUUCAAAACUUGCUCCCACAAAAAUUGGAAAUAUUUACGGUCCUUCAUGUUCGAGUUGUACAAACCAACACCAUGAUGAAAGCCUUACGUAUGACUACUACAUGUCAAGACAAACGCCAUGAUGAAAGCCUUAAUUGACACGAAUGCCAUUCGAAUCCGACUUUAUAUUUCCUUUUUGUCUGUAACCUUCUUCUUUCUUCUGUAUGUUUUCAAAGUGAAUUAAUAAACGUUAUAAUUUA